AUCUUAUCUAGAGUGGUGGAGGGACUGGCCCAAUGAAACCCGACAACCAGCACAUUAGAUGUGCAUGGUGUUAAUUCCAGCAGAGUAAAUCUGAGAGAUAAGAA
rnacentral:ncRNA from 2 species